GUCUGUCCCCAUUUCCUCCACUUGCUUGACUCACCUGAAAUUUGUCUUGACGGGUCAACAUGUCAGCCUGCCGGACUGAACUGGAGCAUGCUAUUUAUACCAUAAUCAAAGUUUUCAAUAAGUAUUCAGAAAACUGUGAGAGGAUGGGCAUGAGUGAGAGUGCAAUGCUUCAACCUAAGGAACGGCGUGUGCUGAGUGAGGGCAGACUGCGUCAACUGGUAAAGGAGCAGCUUCCAGACAUGCCAAUGGCCUCUUGUGUUGUUCAUGAAUUUUUGGGAGAAAUAAAUGGCCCAGUCAACUUCAAUGAGUUCACGGAAUUAGUACGCAAAGUUCCUAAGAGUUCAUAUGAGAACCCCAGACCAUGAAGCACCAACCUGGAGGUGAAGAAUCCAUCAACUCAACUUCAUCUCUAAAGCUCAUGUCCUCCUGAGUCAAUAAAGAGUUGAUUGAACGAUC